rnacentral:SRP_RNA from 1 species
GCCGGGCGUGGUGGCUCACGCCUGUAAUCCCAGAACUUUGGGAGGCUGAGGCAGGUGGAUCACCCGAGGCCAGGAGUUCGAGACCAGCCUGGCCAACAUGGUGAAACCCCGUCUCUA